GGGGAAUCUUGGACAAUGGGCGCAAGCCUGAUCCAGCCAUGCCGCGUGAGUGAAGAAGGCCUUAGGGUUGUAAAGCUCUUUUGGCAGGGACGAUAAUGACAGUACCUGCAGAAUAAGCCCCGGCAAACUUCGUGCCAGCAGCCGCGGUAAUACGAAGGGGGCUAGCGUUGUUCGGAUUUACUGGGCGUAAAGCGCACGUAGGCGGAUUGUUAAGUCAGGGGUGAAAUCCCGGAGCUCAACUCCGGAACUGCCUUUGAUACUGGCAAUCUUGAGGCUGGAAGAGGUUGGUAGAAUUCCCAGUGUAGAGGUGAAAUUCGUAGAUAUUGGGAAGAAUACCAGUGGCGAAGGCGGCCAACUGGUCCAGAUCUGACGCUGAGGUGCGAAAGCGUGGGGAGCAAACA
rnacentral:rRNA from 1 species